GAUGAACGCUGGCGGCGUGCCUAAUACAUGCAAGUAGAACGCUGAAGGAAGGAGCUUGCUCUUUCCGGAUGAGUUGCGAACGGGUGAGUAACGCGUAGGUAACCUGCCUGGUAGCGGGGGAUAACUAUUGGAAACGAUAGCUAAUACCGCAUAACAGUAGAUGUUGCAUGAUAUCUACUUAAAAGGUGCAAUUGCACCACUACCAGAUGGACCUGCGUUGUAUUAGCUAGUUGGUGAGGUAACGUCUCACCAAGGCGACGAUACAUAGCCGACCUGAGAGGGUCAUCGGCAACACUGGGACUGAGACACGGCCCAGACUCCUACGGGAGGCAGAAGUAGGGACUCUUCGGCAAUGGACGGAAGUCUGGCCGAGAAACGCCGCGUGAGUGAAGAAGGUUUUCGGAUCGUAAAGCUAUGUUGUAAGAGACGAACGAGUGUGAGAGUGGAAAGUUCACACUGUGACGGUAUCUUACCAGAAAGGGACGGCUAACUACGUG
rnacentral:rRNA from 1 species